AGAGUUUGAUCAUGGCUCAGGAUAAACGCUGGCGGCGUGCCUAAAACAUGCAAGUCGUACGGGCGCCCUUCGGGGUGUCAGUGGCGGACGGCUGAGUAACACGUGGGUGACCUGCCCCGUCGCGGGGGACAACCGCCCGAAAGGGUGGCUAAUACCGCGGAUGUCGCCGAUUCGGUUCGGUGACUAAACCUCCGAGAGGGGGGCGAUGGGAGGGGCCCGCGGCCGAUUAGCUGGCUGGUGGGGUGACGGCCUACCAGGGCGACGAUCGGUAGCUGGUCUGAGAGGAUGAUCAGCCAGACUGGGACUGCGACACGGCCCAGACUCCUACGGGAGGCAGCAGUUAGGGAUUUUGGGCAAUGGGGGCAACCCUGACCCAGCAACGCCGCGUGGGUGACGAAGGCCUUCGGGUCGUAAAGCCCUUUUCCGGGGGGCGAUGGUGACGGUACCCGCAGAAGAAGCCCCGGCUAACUUCGUGCCAGCAGCCGCGGUAAUACGAAGGGGGCUAGCGUUGCUCGGAAUCAUUGGGCGUAAAGGGCGCGUAGGCGGCGCUGUUAGUCAGGCGUGAAAUGCCCAGGCUCAACUUGGGGACUGCGCUUGAUACGGCAGGGCUCGAGGAUGGAAGAGGGCCGCGGAAUUCCCAGUGUAGAGGUGAAAUUCGUAGAUAUUGGGAAGAACACCGGUGGCGAAGGCGGCGGCCUGGUCCAUUACUGACGCUGAGGCGCGACAGCGUGGGGAGCAAACAGGAUUAGAUACCCCGGUAGUCC
rnacentral:rRNA from 1 species